GUAAACUGAAGAGUUUGAUCAUGGCUCAGAUUGAACGCUGGCGGCAGGCCUAACACAUGCAAGUCGAGCGGUAACAGGUCCAGCUUGCUGGAUGCUGACGAGCGGCGGACGGGUGAGUAACGCAUAGGAAUCUACCC
rnacentral:rRNA from 1 species